rnacentral:rRNA from 1 species
UACAGAGGGUGCAAGCGUUGUUCGGAAUUAUUGGGCGUAAAGGGAGUGUAGGCGGUCCUUUAAGUCUUCUGUGAAAGCUGCGGGCUCAGCCUGCAAAGUGCAGAGGAAACUGGAGGACUUGAGUGUCGGAGAGGAUAGGGGAAUACCCAGUGUAGAGGUGAAAUUCGUAGAGAUUGGGUGGAACACCAGUGGCGAAGGCGCCUGUCUGGCUGACAACUGACGCUGAGACUCGAAAGCAUGGGGAGCAAACAGG